AUGGAGGCAGAUCCAGAAAAAGCGGCCCUAUGUCUUGAAGAGAGCAAAUUAUUUAGAGAGGGCAGCUACAGUUUUGGCCAACGAGCGGCUGUCGUCAGCAAACACAAUAUGAAUCCAGCUGAAUGGUGGGUGCAUUUUGGCGGAUCCGCGAGAAA